rnacentral:rRNA from 1 species
GGGGGCUUGCCCCCCUAGUGGCGCACGGGUGAGUAACGCGUAACUGACCUACCCCGAAGUCCGGGAUAACUGGGCGAAAGUUCAGCUAAUACCGGAUACCCAGAUGACUCGUGAGUCAUCUGGAAAGGUUUACUGCUUUGGGAUGGGGUUACGUUCCAUCAGCUUGUUGGUAGGGUAAAGGCCUACCAAGGCGACGACGGAUAGCCGGCCUGAGAGGGUGGCCGGCCACAGGGGCACUGAGACACGGGUCCCACUCCUACGGGAGGCAGCAGUUAGGAAUCUUCCACAAUGGGCGCAAGCCUGAUGGAGCGACGCCGCGUGAGGGAUGAAGGUUUUCGGAUCGUAAACCUCUGAAUCUGGGACGAAAGGCCCGCAAGGGAGAUGACGGUACCAGAGUAAUAGCACCGGCUAACUCCGUGCCAGCAGCCGCGGUAAUACGGAGGGUGCAAGCGUUACCCGGAAUCACUGGGCGUAAAGGGCGUGUAGGCGGUCCAAUAAGUCUGGCUUUAAAGACUGAGGCUCAACCUCAGGGAUGGGCUGGAGACUGUUGGACUGGACCUCUGGAGAGGAACUCGGAAUUUCUGGUGUAGCGGUGGAAUGCGUAGAUACCAGAAGGAACACCGAUGGCGAAGGCAGAGUUCUGGACAGAAGG